GUUGAAGAACGUAGCGAAAUGCGAUAAGUAAUGUGAAUUGCAGAAUUCAGUGAAUCAUCGAAUCUUUGAACGCACCUUGCACCCUUUGGCAUUCCGAAGGGUAUGCUCGUUUGAGUGUCAUUGUACUCUCACACUUCCGAUCUUUGGAUUGGGAGCGGUGGACUUGGGUGUUGCUGCUUACUGUGGCUCACCUCAAAUCGAUUCGUGCACCUCUUGGUUGGACAUAGUACGGCGUGAUAAGUGUCUUCGCCGGCACCUCAGUAGAGGGUGGCUGAUCGGGAGCUCUGCUUCAAACCGUCCUCGGACAACAACUGACAACUUGACCUCAAAUCGAGUAGGACUACCCGCUGAACUUAAGCAUAUCAAUAAGCGGAGGA
rnacentral:misc_RNA from 1 species